rnacentral:rRNA from 1 species
CAGCCGCCACGGGAAUACGAAGGGGGCUAGCGUUGUUCGGAUUUACUGGGCGUAAAGGGCGCGUAGGCGGGCGAAUAAGUCAGGGGUGAAAUCCCAAGGCUCAACCUUGGAACUGCCUUUGAUACUGUUUGUCUUGAGUUCGAGAGAGGUAAGUGGAACUGCGAGUGUAGAGGUGAAAUUCGUAGAUAUUCGCAAGAACACCAGUGGCGAAGGCGGCUUACUGGCUCGAAACUGACGCUGAGGCGCGAAAGCGUGGGGAGCAAACAGGAUUAGAUACCCCGGUAGUCCCUGUCUCUUAUAC